GUGCCAGCCGCCGCGGUAAUACCGGCAGCCCAAGUGAUGGCCGAUCUUAUUGGGCCUAAAGCGUCCGUAGCUGGCUACGCAAGUCCGUCGGGAAAUCCACUCGCCCAACGAGUGGGCGUCCGACGGAAACUGCAUAGCUUGGGACCGGAAGGCUCGAAGGGUACGUGCGGGGUAGGAGUGAAAUCCCAUAAUCCCGCACGGACCACCGAUGGCGAAAGCACUUCGAGAAAACGGAUCCGACAGUGAGGGACGAAAGCCAGGGUCUCCAACCGGAUUAGAAACCCGAUCC
rnacentral:rRNA from 1 species